rnacentral:rRNA from 1 species
GCCAAGCCGUAAACUUUUAUUUACACCUUGAAUCGCCAGGGAACUACGAGCUAAGCUUAAAACCCAAAGGACUUGACGGUACCCCACAUCCCCCUAGAGGAGCCUGUCCUAUAAUCGAUAAUCCACGUUUAACCUCACCAUUUUUAGUUAAUCAGCCUGUAUACCUCCGUCGUCAGCUUACCACGUGAGCGUCAAUUAGUGAGCCUAAUGUUAUUUCACCAACACGUCAGGUCAAGGUGCAGCAAAUGAAAUGGGAAGAGAUGGGCUACACUUUCUACCAUAGAAGAUACGAAAAACUACAUAUGAAACCUAGUUAGAAGGCGGAUUUAGCAGUAAAAAGGAAUCAGCACGUCCAUUUUAACCCGGCACUGGGGUGUGU